rnacentral:rRNA from 1 species
UCGAACGCUUCUUUCCUCCCGAGUGCUUGCACUCAAUUGGAAAGAGGAGUGGCGGACGGGUGAGUAACACGUGGGUAACCUACCCAUCAGAGGGGGAUAACACUUGGAAACAGGUGCUAAUACCGCAUAACAGUUUAUGCCGCAUGGCAUAAGAGUAAAAGGCGCUUUCGGGUGUCGCUGAUGGAUGGACCCGCGGUGCAUUAGCUAGUUGGUGAGGUAACGGCUCACCAAGGCCACGAUGCAUAGCCGACCUGAGAGGGUGAUCGGCCACACUGGGACUGAGACACGGCCCAGACUCCUACGGGAGGCAGCAGUAGGGAAUCUUCGGCAAUGGACGAAAGUCUGACCGAGCAACGCCGCGUGAGUGAAGAAGGUUUUCGGACCGUAAAACUCUGUUGUUAGAGAAGAACAAGGACGUUAGUAACUGAACGUCCCCUGACGGUAUCUAACCAGAAAGUCGCGGCUAACUACGUGCCAGCAGCCGCGGUAAUACGUAGGUGGCAAGCGUUGUCCGGAUUUAUUGGGCGUAAAGCGAGCGCAGGCGGUUUCUUAAGUCUGAUGUGAAAGCCCCCGGCUCAACCGGGGAGGGUCAUUGGAAACUGGGAGACUUGAGUGCAGAAGAGGAGAGUGGAAUUCCAUGUGUAGCGGUGAAAUGCGUAGAUAUAUGGAGGAACACCAGUGGCGAAGGC